AAUGGCACUGCCCGGUAGCUAAAUGCGGAAGAGAUAAGUGCUGAAAGCAUCUAAGCACGAAACUUGCCCCGAGAUGAGUUCUCCCUGAGACUAUAAGUCUCCUGAAGGAACGUUAAAGACGAUGACGUUGAUAGGCCGGGUGUGUAAGCGCAGCGAUGCGUUGAGCUAACCGGUACUAAUGAACCGUGAGGCUUAACCUUACAACGCCGAAG
rnacentral:rRNA from 1 species